AGAGAGCUUGCUUUCUCGAGCGAGUGGCGAACGGGUGAGUAACGCGUGAGGAACCUGCCUUUCAGUGGGGGACAACAGUUGGAAACGACUGCUAAUACCGCAUAAGCGCACAGGAUUGCAUGAUCCAGUGUGAAAAACUCCGGUGGUAUGAGAUGGACCCGCGUCUGAUUAGCCAGUUGGCGGGGUAACGGCCCACCAAAGCGACGAUCAGUAGCCGACCUGAGAGGGUGACCGGCCACAUUGGGACUGAGACACGGCCCAAACUCC
rnacentral:rRNA from 1 species